rnacentral:rRNA from 1 species
AUUGAACGCUGGCGGCAUGCUUUACACAUGCAAGUCGAACGGUAACAGGUUAAGCUGACGAGUGGCGAACGGGUGAGUAAUGCAUCGGAACGUGCCCGGUCGUGGGGGAUAACGCAGCGAAAGCUGCGCUAAUACCGCAUACGAUCUGAGGAUGAAAGCGGGGGACCGUAAGGCCUCGCGCGAUCGGAGCGGCCGAUGUCAGAUUAGGUAGUUGGUGGGGUAAAGGCCCACCAAGCCGACGAUCUGUAGCUGGUCUGAGAGGACGACCAGCCACACUGGGACUGAGACACGGCCCAGACUCCUACGGGAGGCAGCAGUGGGGAAUUUUGGACAAUGGGCGAAAGCCUGAUCCAGCAAUGCCGCGUGCAGGAAGAAGGCCUUCGAGUUGUAAACUGCUUUUGUACGGAGCGAAAAGGUCCUUUCUAAUACAAGGGGCUCAUGACGGUACCGUAAGAAUAAGCACCGGCUAACUACGUGCCAGCCGCCGCGGUAACAC